AUGCUCCGUGCGGCCUCUCUGGAGGGGAUCCUCAAGCCGAUCAAGGCUCGUUCGGCUACCUGCGGAAUCUCCCUCCACGCCGAUGAUGCCGGCAUCUUCGUCAAUCCGGUCAAGGAAGAGAUCGACGCCAUCGCAAAGAUCCUUGCCUAUUUUGGCGAGGCUUCGGGCCUCAUCACCAACGUAACCAAGACGGAAGUGUUCCCCAUCCGCUGUCAUGGGCUCGAUCUCAUAAACAUCCUUUCGGGCUUCCCCGUGAAGAUUGCCUCCUUCCCCACAAAGUACCUGGGCCUCCCCCUCCAUACUAGGCGGCUCAAACGAGCGGACCUCCAACCUCUCUUCGACAAGGCAAUGGGCAGACUGCCGGGAUGGAAGGGCAAAAACCUCGCUAGGCCCGGAAGGGUCUCCUUGGCAAAGUCUGUCUUGUGCGCUAUUGCCACACACCACCUCACUGCGUUCCCCCUCCCGACUUGGGCCAAUCACAAGCUCAGCAAGAUUUCACGAAAUUUCAUCUGGGGCGACGAAAACUUUGAAAACGCGUCUGGGGGUCACUCCCUGGUCAACUGGAGGACGGUGUGUAGGCCGAAGGCCCACGGUGGGCUUGGGAUCACGGACCUCGAGAGAUUUGGCAGGGCUCUUCGCCUGCGCUGGCCUUGGCUCAUGUGGACCGACCCUAACCGACAGUGGGUGGGCUCCGCCCUACCCUGCGACGAGGCGGACAUGGCGCUGUUCAGGGCUUCCACCACCAUCGUGCUGGGGAACGGCCGGAAAUCUUUGUUCUGGCAUGACGACUAG
rnacentral:rRNA from 1 species